AGUCACUGACAUUAGAUACCCCUGUAGUCCAGGGUGUAAACGCUGCAGACUUGGUGUUGGAAGUCCUUUGGGGGCAUUCAGUGCCGGAGAGAAGUUGUUAAGUCUGCUACUUGGGGAGUACGUCCGCAAGGAUGAAACUUAAAGGAAUUGGCGGGGGAGCACCGCAACGGGAGGAGCGUGCGGUUUAAUUGGAUUCAACACCGUAAACUCACCAGGGAAGACUGUUACAUGAAAGCCGAGAUGAAGACUCUGCUAGAUUUUCAG
rnacentral:rRNA from 1 species